AAUCCGCAGACGCUGUGCUCCUGUGAUUCUUGAACGAGCUGCAUUCCACUAUGAUUCGUCAAUUGAUUAUUGUGCCGACAAAUCAGUAAAAAUUGGGGAUAUGAAAACAAUUUGUAAAUAUUGUAAGGAGUUAAAGUACACUGGUCUACUGGAUUAUGUUGCGCUGAAGGCAAAGUAAAAUUGCCACAAUUGGUCCCACCACCAGAUCCUUUACGCUCCUUAGUUUCUGGGAUUGGAAAUGAUUCGAAGCACUUUUUGACCAACAUUCAGAAAUAUAACAACUGUGUUCAGAUGCCAUCAUUUGGUGCUACACAUAUUAUACAAGCCAAUUUCAUGCCCACUUUUAAGAUACAAGGACAAUUUUAUCACUUACUGGGAACUCUGAUACCACUACCUGAUGCAGAUCAUCAAUUUUUACAAAUUUAUUUUAUGGGCAAUUCAGAUGCGGAAAUUAAUAUUCGUUGUGCUCACAAACCAACAGUAAAGAGAACCAUUGUCCAACAAUUACAAAUGUUUCUUCAUCAGAAUAACAAUUUAGUAAACAUGAUCAAAAUAGCAUUGGAUCGGAUGCCAUCUGAUAGCCAUAAUACUGGAAGACUGGCUGUGAAAAGACUGAUGAAUAACGUCAUUGAGACAA